rnacentral:lncRNA from 1 species
AAAGUGCUGGGAUUACAGGCAUGAGCCACCAUACCUAGCCUUUUUUCUAUUUUUUAUAGAGAUGGGGUCUCACUAUGUUGCCUAGGCUGGUCUUGAACUCCCGGGAUCAAGUGAUCCUCCUGCCUUGGCCUCCUCAAAUGUUGGGGUUAUAGAAGUGAGCCACCAUGCCUGGUCAUCUUUCCCCACUCUUAGCAUGUGGAUGCAACAGCUGAAAGAUUCCCAGAGACCUGGCCCAAGACUUCUGUGUGCAGGAGGAGAGGGAGGAGCCUUAAGGGGUUCCAAAGGUUGCACACCUGGGCAGGAAUGGAACAUCAGACACAUUGUAUUUGCAGCAACAGGCUGGCCCUGCUGACAUCACAGACAUCAGGACAGACCAGGAAGACAUCCAUCAAAUUCUGGGCUGGAAGAUGCAGAAUACUCUGACUUUGCCCAAGACUGGGCCUUCCUCAGAAGCUCCUGAGAAGAAAAGAAUGCAGGGGCCUCAUGAAUGAGGCUCAGAAAUUCGGUUCAACAAUCACCAAUGAGCCUCAAUCCAGGGAAGUGUAACUUACCACCCCAAUUUUAUAAGGAAGAACACUGAGGCUCAGAGAGGGUCUCACUCCCUUGCCCAGGCUGGAGUGGAGUGGUGCGAUAUCCCAGCUCACUGCAGCCUUAAUCUUGACCUCCUGGACUUGAGCAAUCCUCCCAACCUCAGCCUCCCGAGUAGCUGGGACUACAGUCCCUCCAGAGUGUUUCCAAGGAGCAGCCAGGAUCCGUGACUUGCCCAGGGACUUAGUGAGUCCAGCCAGCCCAGAGUCCAGGCCCUGCUGCUCAGCCAACUCCUGGCUGCUCAAAAGCACCAGGCUGUUCUGUAAGUGGAGGGCAACUGCACCUGUCCUGCACUCAGCCUCUGUCUCCUGGACUCUUGCUAAUAGUUUCCCAGCUAGUUUCUCAGUUUCCAUUGUCCCUUUAACCUAUCCUCUCAUUUCCCACAAGUACAGUCUUUCUGAAGAGCAAACCUGAUCACAUUCCUCCCUGCUUAAAAUCCUCCCAUGGCUCCCCGCUACCCUGAAGUUAAAGUCUGAUCUCCUUAGAGUAGCCCACGAGGUCUGACUGUGCUGGCCUUGGAAUACCUCAGCUGUUUUGUCUCUUACCGAUCGAUCCCUCAGGGCACCCAAUGCCCCAGACUUGAAUGGUUUGAAUCAUUCAGAAAACCCUGCCUGGUCUCCUGAGUCCAUGCUUUUGCAGAUCCUGGUCCCUCUGCUUCAAACACCCCCUCCCAUCCAUCCGUCCAUCCAUCCAUCCAUCCAUCCAUCCAUCCAUCCAUCCAUCCGUCCGUCCAUCCAUCCGUCCAUCCAUCCAUCCAGUAAGUAAUAAUUGUGCUCUCUUUAUAUGCCAGGCUUAGUGUGAGUUGCCAAAGUUAUAGCAGUCAACAAGACACAGCGUUUUUGGCCCCUUGGAGCUUGCAUUAUAGUGGAGGGAGACACCUUAGAAAGAGAGCAAACAACCAAAAUAUGUAUGUAUUUUGAACUUACAUCAUUAGGUAUGCAAGUGUGUGUGUUUAUAAGUGGAAAAUGCCAUGAGAGAAAUUAAACAGCAUAAUGCAUUGGUCCCUGGGGUGAGGGGACAGUGGCCUUGGAUUACUAAUU